UACAGAGGGGGCAAGCGUUGUUCGGAAUUACUGGGCGUAAAGGGCGCGCAGGCGGCUCAUUUUGUCAGAUGUGAAAGCCCCGGGCUUAACCUGGGAACUGCGUUUGAAACUGGGAGACUUGAGUGUGGCAGAGGGGGGUGGAAUUCCACGUGUAGCAGUGAAAUGCGUAGAUAUGUGGAGGAACACCGAUGACGAAGGCAGCCCCCUGGGUUAACACUGACGCUCAUGCACGAAAGCGUGGGGAGCAAACAGG
rnacentral:rRNA from 1 species